UACGGAGGAUGCAAGCGUUAUCCGGAAUGAUUGGGCGUAAAGCGUCCGCAGGUGGCUGUGUAAGUCUGCUGUCAAAGAGCAAAGCUCAACUUUGUAAAGGCAGUGGAAACUACAUAGCUAGAGUGCGGUAGGGGCAGAGGGAAUUCCUGGUGUAGCGGUGAAAUGCGUAGAGAUCAGGAAGAACACCGGUGGCGAAAGCGCUCUGCUAGGCCGCAACUGACACUGAGGGACGAAAGCUAGGGGAGCGAAUGGG
rnacentral:rRNA from 1 species